UAUUACACUACAUGAUUGUGUUUAUCCCAAGUAAAGUGAAAAAUUAAUACUUUUGUCAAAAUUUCGCCUUCAAAAAUGAAUGUAUCAGAUACAUUUAACAUUCAAUGGAUGUCAGAAAAGCCUAAUGAACUUCAACUUUUUGCACAUAUGAGGACAAAAUGUGGAAAAAAUGCAACAAAAUGGUUAAACUGAAACCAAAAGCUAUGUUCAGUGCAAACUGUAAACCUAACAUUAGCUAUUCAUCUCUAUGAGCUGUAUGUUUACAUACAUUUUAAUACAUAUAUUAAUACAUAAAUAAAUUGUUCAGCCACUGUAAUCUGACUGACAUAACACUGCUCUGAUGUUCUAAACAUUAUCCCACACUCCCAUAGGUACAUCCUGUGUGCAAACACCAAAGGAACCAGACGCAGAGGGAUGUGUUAGGUGCUGAGAUGGACAUACUUCCCAGGGUCCUUUGUGAACAAAGUUGCUGAGAUCAGCUCAUCGGCGCACCCGGCAGUCUCUCCCUGGGCACCCGGGCAGCAGCUGUCGGAAUACACUCGGCUUUGUGUUUUUAUACGAGAGAAGAGCACAGAGUGACUGCCACAUAUGAAGAGAGCGGGAAUCAAAGGAAGCCAUGGAAUGCGUCAGAGUAAAAAUGAACACGAGAGUGAAUGACGGUUGCUCGGAAGGCUGAUGUUACUAUAUGUGCCGCUGCUCCUCAUUUCACACCCAGAUGAUUCUCGGCUCACAUCAUGUGAGAAUGAAUUUGAACAGGAGAGAAGAUACAGAAGAUGUUAAACAUUAAAUUGUUUUUUCAUUC